CAAGGUAGGUGCUAAAGGUGUAACACACCCUGGACGCUUUUUGCAAAUUGCGAGCCGUUCGAGUAGUUUGGAUCUGUCGUCCCGAUGCUUUUCCAGAUUUCUGGUGGGUCGUAGACAAGUGUCCGACCUAUAUGGCUUCAUAUGCAUCGAGAAUUGUAGUAUUUUUAUGUUCGGCUAAACCGACUAUAGAGUUAGACUUAGCCUACCCUCGAUUGCAUUCUGCACAUGGUGAAAGGCCGCGUGACAUGUCGAUGUGGUUGUAUCCGCGGUACACCAUUUUGUUACCGGUACCGUUGAUGGCUGUACCGCCGUACAGCACCUUGUGCCCGAAUUUCAAACCGAGCCUCGGUAGCUUUUCGUUGGGAUUUGUAGCCGGUACACCUUUCCCGUGUACCGGUCACACCUUCUUGGCAGUUUCGAAUAGUUCGGACUGCAGGGUGUUUUUGCUAAUUCGUAACAACUGCUAUAAAUACGCCCUAUCCCCUUGUGUUCCCCCAUGAGCUUGGAAGCAGGGAGAGCCAGGUAAGGGAAAGGUCUCUUUCUCCCGUCUUUGUUCCCUUUGAAUUUACUGUUGGGUUUUUGAUUGAUUAAACUCUCCUUUUGCCUCUGCUUUUUGGCAUAUUUUGGUUGCUUUCCUCUUAAUGAAGAAGUUUGGGCUUGGGUGUUUUGAGCUUGUUGGAGGUAGGAGCCUCAACCCUUAGCUGACAUUUCUAGGGUGGUUGGGAGCUUCUCUUGAGGUUAGUUGCUUACUAAUUCCCUUUUGAUCAUGAUUUCCACGAUUUUUGUAUACAAACCCUAGAAAUGGGUAUUUAGGGUUUGUUUUGGGGAUUUUUGAUUAGAGGCUUUUGUAGCCUAAUUGAUCUUAUUAGAACCUUUGUCUAGGUUGCAUUGGAAGGAAUUUAGCUCUCUUUUGGAGCUUGAGAGGGAUUUCCACCACCAUAGGUGAGUUUUGGCCCUUUCAUUGAGUUGGUUAAUGUUUAACGUAUUCGUUGUUCGUGAUGCUCGUGUAUCUCUUCGCUCCUUACUUUUAGGGUACUUAGAGACUCGUGGACAACUCCGUUCGGCGAAUCGAAGGAUUCCGAGACGGUUCGGUGGGUUUGGCCUCACCAAAUGAAACAAAAUUCUCUUAUGAUGGUUUUAUUUAUCGUAAAAUGAAAAUGCAUGCAUAUUCAUGCUAGAUAGAUUAAUUGUGAAUUUUAGAAUGCUUAAAAAUACGCACGUUAUGUAUAAUGCAUUUUCGAACCUCUAUGUAGUAGAGAGCUUGCAUGUGAGACUUGUGCAUGGGUUUAGCAUUCUAAUUGGGACUUGGAAUCAUACUUCUUGUAGUAGUCAUGACAAAUAUAAUGUGCCUUGGACAUAAACCUCAUUGGGACAUAGGAGAAUAUUUUGGGCCAUAAAGUGGCUUUAGAUUUGAAUAUCUUGUGAGGUAGGAAGCUAAUGUUGUAAUGCGACGUCGGGCUCAAACUAUAAGUGAGCCUAGCAAGUAAUGCCAUAGAGAGGCAUUAGACUCGAGCGAUAUAUAAAUUGCAUGUGCAUGUUAAUAUUAUGAAAAUUAUGUUAAGUUGGUUGUUACAUCGAAAUCAUAUGCUAGUGGAUAGAUGCAUGUUUAUACUUAUACGCAUUGUGGGAUACAGGCUAGGCACAUAUUAGCAAUGUGAGAUCAUGCUUGAGAGCACCGUGCAUUAACCUAGAACGGGUAUAUUAAGCUAAUGUCAUAAAGAGGCAUUAGGCUUAGGUUUGGUGUAGUAAGCUAAUGUCAUAAAGAGGCAUUAGGCUUAGGUUUGGUGUAGUAAGCUAAUGUCAUAAAGAGGCAUUAGGCUUGGGAUACGUAUGGACUUAGUCAGGCUAAGGUCACAUGAGACAUUGAAUUAUUGAACGGUUAAACCUUCACUUGAGGCAUAGACUAGACACUGGGCUUGCUAGUGUGCAUUUCCAUGUUAGAGACAUGAUGACUGUUGAGUUGCAUUUCCAUGUUGGAGACAUGACGAUUGGACUAUUGAGGUUUUGACCAUGCUUGCUUGCCAUUUGUGCUCAUUCGCACAUGCUUGUGAGGGUCGCUCCCCACAAGCCGGCACUCCGGAGUUAGCCUACGCGACAUAUGCUCGCUCGUGCGGUAUUGAGAAGCCUACGGGGUCGAGUGGGACAGACACAUUCCAAGAGUAGGAAUGUUGGGCUACCACAGGCACUUAGGCGGCACAAGCCGGACUACACCCGUGUAGAUCCUGAAUGAGAUUGAACCAGAAUACUAAACAACAGGUUGACAAUCACUACUAGAUAGGUUAUAGUAGUUGGAUUUUCUUGACAUGCUAUGGCAUAGGGUUGGACUUUUGGGACAUUUAGUGUACUUGACAUUAUCGCUUAUUGCAUUGUAGUACACCUUGCUGCCAUGAUAGUACAUACUAGAUAUGUAGUGGGCUAUGGAAUAUAUAUCACACUUUAUAGCAUUACUUGUUGCAUCAUGAUACACUGUUUAAGUUUUGGGCAUAUUGGAUCAUGUAGAGUAGAUGUACUCCAUGUUGACAUUCAGAAUACUUGUGGCAUAGUAGAGUAGCAUUUUAAUUUCAUGCUUCAAUUACUGUUGAUAUUUUCCUGUUAUCAUUAUUUGCUCGUUUUGGGCCUAGUGGUGCAAUUUGGUGCAGGUCAGUAAUUGCCCACUGGGAACUAUAAUUUAUAGUUCUCACGCCCCCUGUUUUAUAUUUUCUUUCAGAGCCUUCCACUCCGGGAGAGGCUCGGGAUCGCGGGAAAGGUUUCGCCUCGAGUUAGCUAUCGAGGGACUUGGUGAUAGGUGGUCCACCUCUCUUUUGUUUUCUUUUGUAGAGGUUAUGAGAGUUUUGUACCUGGUUAUAGAGACCACCCUAUUUUUGUAUCUUGAGAUUUAUGAUGUAUUAGUUUACUUUAUGCUUUAGUAGUAUGAUUUUCUUUUGAUUCUACCUGAUGUUAGAACCUAGCUAUAUACUUGCUCUGAUAUCUCUAGUUGCAGAUCUUCUCAUUCUUUAUUCUUCCGCUUUUGUGUAGACGCCUUAUAUGUGUAGACAUAUGGCGGGUCUGAGCGCGCACCGGGCGGGCUUAUGCCGGGUCCCGGGGCGUGACAAAAGGAAUGCUAUGCAACUCGGCGAACUGCCGAUCAAUAAAAGAAUGCGAAGCACCAGUAUCAAAUAAAGCACGAACACGAAUAUCAUAAAGCAUAAUGAUACCUGCUACGACCUCCUGUGCUGCUGCGACGCCCUCAGUCUGGGCGGCAUACAUCCGCCCACUCGAACCCUGCUGCGAACUCUCCGACUGCCGCUGUCCUGAUGGUCGCCUAGACUGAUAGGGUGCUGUCGAGGUCCCCUGGCUCGGAGCUGAAGAUGUAGGUGCAGAAGCGGACGGGGGUGCCGGCAAAGAACCUCUCGGGCACUCUGACCGAAAGUGGCCCUCCUGGCCGCAGAGAAAGCAUCUGCCCCCACGCUGUGGACACUGUGGCGGUACAUGAGGCCCACCACAGAUAACACAACGCGGCGGUCGACGACGCUCGGGUGCUCCACGGGGCGCUGAAGAACCUCGACCCCUCGACUGGCCUGAUUGUCCCCUCGGAUACUUUGGUGGUCUCCUAAAGGAUUGCUGACCACUGCUCUCAACUGCAGGUCUCUUUCCUUUGCCUCGGUCCACAACAUCUCUUUCCUUCAUAAUUUCGGCCCCUUUCUCCACGAUCAAGGCCCGGUUCACGACAUCCCUGUAAGUAGAGAGGUUUGACGCCUGGACCAAUCUGAAAAUCGUAGGCCGCAAACCCACCUCAAAGAUACGAGCCUUAUCCUCAUCAUCUCUAACCACAAAAGGAACACAGUGUAGUAAUCGUGAGAACUCUCGCUCAUACUCAGCCACUGUCCUGUCCCCCUGUCUCAAGUUCCUCAGAUCCCUUUCCAUCUGCCUCUUCACACUCUGUGGAAAAUAGGUAGUCAACAACAAUUCCUUGAACCUGUUCCACGUGAUAGCAGACAAAUCAGCACGGGGAUCCUCCCGGAUGUCCACCCACCACCUGUAAGCCUCGCCGUCAAGGUGGUGUGUCGCAAACCAAACCCGGUACCGCUCCUCAACAAAGGUAUCAUAGAAUAGCUUCUCCAGGUGCAUUAACCAUUUCUCGACCACCCAGUGAUCCGCUUUCUCCCCAUCAAAGAUACGAGGGUUGCAGCGACGGAAUUCAUUUAAUCGUUCCAUCAUCCGCUCUCGCUCCUCAACCCCUACCAUCUCCGGCAACACUGUCCCUGUCGUAGCUAUAAGCACGGGUGGUACAACUGUCUCCUGUCGGGGCUCUACCCCGGAACUACUAGGGGUGUGUCAGGCACAGGUGACGGGGCUCUCACAGUCGCGCCCCUCUCUGGUGCUGUAGGUACGAAAUCUGGAGGUACAGAAUCUGGAAUCUCUCUGUCGGUCGUCUGCCGCAGUAACAGAUCCUCUAACCUCUUCAUCCUAUCCUCCUGUCGUCGCGCGGCAUCCAUCUGUUGUCGCGCUGUCGAUGCCUGCUGUGUCACUAGCUGAGUCAACACUGCGAGCUGAUCCUGCAACUCGCGGAUCUCACUAGAUCCAGAAGUAACGGAAGUCUCUACUUCUUCCGCAGCGGCCGCCUCAGCCGCCCCGGCGGUUCCAGAACGAGUCGUAGGCAUCUUAAACUGCAACACAAAAACAAACAUAGGUCAAUAAACCCUAUACUAUUGAACCCUCAUUGAGGAUAUAAACCAACUAAUUAAGCGAAAGUAAUGAAAUGUAACGCGUACUAACUUCCGAUGUCACGUUGUCGGCCGCCAACGUGGCCCUCUGCAAAGUUAGUAAUUGCACAUUCCGAUCAAACUCCUACCAUUCGGAGUUUAUAGAUACCCAAUCAAAGUACUUUCGCUAACAAUAACCUCAACUAGACUGCGUCUCUCACGAGCCUAUUCUUAUAGUCCAACUAGCCUAAGGUUUGCUAGGUCUACUAAGACUCAACCCAAGGCUCUGAUACCACUAUAAUCUGUCACGCCCGGGUAUCAGCGGAAGCAUAUCCGGUACGUGUACAGACCCGCCAUACACCUGCAGUAUAUAAGGCGUCUACAAGAACACAAGUCGAUAGGAAAUAAAACAAAGAAAGUCCUAUCCUGAUAUCAGAGCAAAGUACAAGUCCACAAUACUAUCAGUAAAAGAACAAAGAGUAUACAAUCCAAAAUCUCAGCAAAAAGGAGAAGAGAUCACAACUAUAGUAUCUGGUCCAACCAGUAAAUAUACAUCACAGGUAUACAAAAGUAGAUACACUGGUAGUCUCUCUAUACAUAGGGACAUCACCCUCGGCCGUAGCCCGAGUAACAAGGUGAUCGACUAGCACUCUCCUAAUAGUCCCUAGCUAGGCGCGACUCCCUUGCCACGAUCCCUAGCCUCUCCUGUAAUAGGCUCUGUAAAAACGACCACCAAAAGGGCGUGAGAACUAUAAACAAUAGUUCCCAGUGGGUAAGCCGCCAGCCUCGGCGAAUUACACCACUAGGCUCAUGAUGUACUAAAUGAAAGAAACAACAAUAAUUGCAUGAUUUAUAAGCAUGAUGCUAACAAGUAAUGAGCAUGUAAUCAACAUGUAAUAGCUUUCUACAGUAAUGAAUCAUCUGCAUAAUAGAGAUAUAACAACUUCGGUAAUCAUGAACAUAAACAUGAAUAUAAGAGUACUACUGUACACUUUAACUAGUAAGCAUUCAUUACUGUCCUUUGUCAUUUAGUACUUUCACCUCAAAAGAGUUUUCCUUUCAUUCACAGGGAUCUACUCAAGGUAGUCCAGCUUGCGCCGCGCCUAAUGGCCUCGUGGUAGUAAACACUCCCCACGGCAAACCACUUCGGCACCCAAUCCCGCACGGGCGAGCAACUGUUGCGUAGGCUAACUCCGGAGUGCCGGCUUGUAGGGAGCUACCCUCACAAGCAUGUGCGAAUGAGCACAAUGGCAAGCAAGCAAGGUCCACAAUCCAACAAGUCUCAGCUAUCACAAUUAGCUCACACUAUUCUCGCUCUCGAUCCUUUGAUCGGGAUUUCAAUAUAACCAAUAUUAACAACGACUAGUAUCCACUAGAUAACAACUAUGUGAGAGUAAUGCUAGUUCAUAUAUGGCAUUAGAGUCUUUCCACUAUCAUGGCACUAUCAACAUAGUCACAUGGCAUGUCAGUGUUCUCUACUUUACAAAAGCAUCAUUAGUAUAUCCAUUAGUUAACUUAACUAAUUAUAAACAUAAACAUGAGCAUAAAGACACUUAUGCAUGAGUGCUCUCUACUUCAUAGAGGUUCUAUUUCCAUUAUGUUAAGCCUUAUCGCAAGGAUGUUCCCAAUUCUUUAGCAACUACCUAGUGACAAUACACACAUGUAUAUCAAUUCUCUAUAGUGACAUAUAGAACAUAGAGGAGCUUCACUUGCUCUGGUUAGGUCCGACCCACCUCGUAUUAAGCUCAAAUCAGUCACAAGAUGUCCCAGGAAUCAGCCCAACAAGGUCCCAAUCCUGUUGAAAACAAAGUAACAAAACCACGUCAAAAUGACGACCGAAAUAUCCGAUUUCGGCCUAAAUUACCCUUAGUACAAGGUAAUAGCUUGAAUCCCUGCUUUGGGGCAAGUUCAAUACCUCAAGAUAAGUCUCCAAAAGCUCUCACAAGUCAGCUAAUGACGAUCCAAGGCUCGUUCGCACUCUCGCUGCGAACAACAUCGAAACAGCAUCAAAAUUAUCAUAUAUUAGCAAAUAUAGUCGGAAUCUUGCGAAUUCAGUUUUCUAACUGAAAUUCCUGCUUACCUCAAGUUAGAACACUUCUAGACCAGUCCCCAAGGCCACCAAUUAAGCUCAAUGGACUCAGGAAACCUGCUGCGAAGAUACCAAUUCCAACUUGCAUCAAUUAUGCAAUUAGACGUCGUAUAGUCCCGAAUUCGCAUUAUAGUUACUCAUUACUUAUUCAAGUGGCAAAUCAGCUUAUCCCAGGG
rnacentral:lncRNA from 1 species